GUGCUAAUUUGGGUGGCACAUAUACUAAAAUUGGAACAAUACAGAGAAGAUUAACAUGGUCCCUGCACAAGGAUGACAGGCAAAUUCAUGAAGCAUUUCACAUUAAA
rnacentral:snRNA from 1 species